UAGCGGAAUGGUUUACACAUGCAAGUCGAACGGCAGCACGGGGCAACCUGGUGGCGAGUGGCGAACGGGUGAGUAAUACAUCGGAACGUGCCCAAUCGUGGGGGAUAACGUAGCGAAAGUUACGCUAAUACCGCAUACGAUCUACGGAUGAAAGCGGGGGAUCGCAAGACCUCGCGCGAAUGGAGCGGCCGAUGUCAGAUUAGGUAGUUGGUGGGGUAAAGGCUCACCAAGCCGACGAUCUGUAGCUGGUCUGAGAGGACGACCAGCCACACUGGGACUGAGACACGGCCCAGACUCCUACGGGAGGCAGCAGUGGGGAAUUUCGGACAAUGGGCGCAAGCCUGAUCCAGCCAUUCCGCGUGCAGGAUGAAGGCCUUCGGGUUGUAAACUGC
rnacentral:rRNA from 1 species